GCAUUUCUAACCAUAACAACUCUAUCAAUAGGCUGAGACCAGCACAAAACACUCCUGUAACUCAGUUGGGCAUUAUUACUUUAAACAGUCUGAAGUUUGCAAUUUUUGUAGUAAAAAAUCAUAGAAGACCAGCAAUUUCGUGUGGCUUAAUUACUAUAUGAAGGGGUUGUUAAUUCCGGAAAACUCAGUGCUCUCCCUGCUCAACACGAGAGGCUCCUUCUGACUGUGGCUGGCGGUCAUUGGCCUCUCCGUCUUGCCUCGGUACUCAUCAGGACUGCCGUGAUAGUCCUGCAUUUGAAAUCCCAGGCCUUGCUCUAUGUGGCAUGAAGCAGAGGGUAGGGCAAAAAUUAUGUAUUUUUUAGUGCUAAGCAACUAUUUUAACACCAUAGUUUAUGCUUUCUUUAAUUUCUUUCAAGACCAACUGUGACAUAUUUUAUAGAAAGCAUGUAAAUUAUUUGCUUCCACAUGGCAGCAUUCCCUAAAUUAGAUGGAUCCUCACUAGAAAUAGUUAAUUACCAAAUGCUAGCAUGCUGCAUUUCAGCAUGGGGGUGACGGGCAGACUUUUCAUGGUGCGACCCAAGAAAUAACAAUACAGUAGAUGAUUUCUAUGUGAUGUCUUUGUUUGUUUUUUGCUAGCAUUCUGUCUAGAAGCUGUCUUCCUCCAGCUCACGUCCAAAGAAAAUUCUUUCAGUGUUGUGGCAGCAGCAGCGAGAAGAGAACAUUCUCGAGCUACUCCAGCAAGUAAUUUCAGAGUCAGCACUAAACUUACAUAAGAAAAGUGAACCUCCUUAUGUUCCGGCAGAGACUUUAUAUUCUGUUCAGGAGUUAGAAAAGACUAGAAUAACUUUAAUUGAAUAAACACAGUUAGUUCUGUACUUUGAACAAAUGGCCUCUUAACUUUCUUGGCCCUGAGCACUUAAGAAAAGAAGAAAGGUCUGUUUGUCGGGGACAGUGACUAAGGAAAUGUGGCACCAACUUUCUUCCUAUACCUCCAUUUCAGAGUUUGCCUCACCUCUGCUCCAACUCAAGUCCACAAGAGCUGGGGUGUGCUGCCCCAGUGUCCCUGAGUUUUUAUCUUGCGGGUGUAGCAGCCACGGUCUAUGCUCCAUCUGUAACCACUCAGCAUCUCUGUUCCUGAACGCACAGCUACUGCUUCUUACUACAAGGCCUGCAGCUCUCCGUGUGGGACUUUCUCUGGCUACAGGAGCAGAUGUGGCCUAUACAGAGGGCAGAUCAGAAGUGCUGGAAAGUUAACCCUCCCAGGAGCAGCCCUUGAUCAGUGACAGAUGGGAGCUGGUGGGUAAAUAUCCCAGCUUCCUUGCUCCUCAGGUGGGAAUACCCUGAGAUGAGUUCUGUGAAGUUUCUGAGUUCCCCAGCGGGACCGAGCCCCACUUGUCCAUGGUGGAAACCAGCUCAUUAACAUACCUGUCUUAGCUUCCUUUCCUUCUCUGUCUCAUCUCUCCACUCCCUCAUGGUGCUUCCUGGGAUCACUUCCCAAAUAACUCCUUGUACUCAAUCCUUGUCUCAGGCUCUCCUUCUAGGAGAUUCCAAUCUAAAGCAUUUGGUAUCAGCGGUGGUCCUAGGGAGCAGAUCCUUAGGAUGAGAUCCUGAAGUUGGAUCAUCCUCUGGCCAGAAGGCAACAAGAGCCCCAUUGCUGUGGUUCAUGUGGUGAUGAUAACCCCUUGUGUCCUGUAGCAUCACACUUACUAAAACUCUCACCUGGGGGGGUCAGGAUGAGGUGGAGGAGGAAGGAGAUGGAUUAGCUUAGGCAAUAUUCCCAGUGCUUGAAAGAUGUGGGGUAAUGGUGAUUAGUUGGCUGAUUUGUUGACUGGUCAUUAGGAAGAAAAUUACGCACUCAAACCAGCCAACUAUCAACUCAGGGCACAGCGUGAAAGCUAGAAGGCCUCUAAGACAGUUUUUAAAUAGGCCCUUAUCUUCCAAAGCUGGAAAGAGGACUGUGCUGAAAUCCAUGCACAAGAUUUGGUUGUAAGGGUAAUAAAUAGAGUUACAACCUUAGAAAGUCUCCUAUGCUAAAAUUAGGGCCCUGGUAGGGAAGAGGUCAGACCCUGAGAUCUGGGAUGAGGAUAUUUGGGCAUAAACCUUGAGAUCCUCAUGACUGCUCUGGGCUGGCAGACUUGGAGAAGAGCAGCUUCCUAUUGACAGGUGUCUUCAUUUUCUGUGGCUGCCGUAACAAAUUACCAUCAACUAAGUGGCUUAAAAUCACAGAAAUUUGUUCUCUCACAGUUCUGGAGGCCAGCAGUCCAAAACCAGGGGUUGGUUCCUUCUCGAGGGCUCUGAGGGAGAAGCUGUUCCAUGCCUCUCUCCCCUAGUUUCUGGUGGUUGCUGGCCAUCCUUGACAUUUGUUGGCUUUAGAUGCAUCACUCCAUCCUUUGUUUCCAUCUUCAUGUGGCGUUCUCCCUCUGUGUCUGCAUAUUGUCUCCUCUUCUGGUAAAGACACAGUCAUAUUGGAUUAGGGCCUGUCCUAAUACAGGAUGAGCUCAUCUUAACUUGGUUACAUCUGCAAAGACCCUAUUUCCAAAUAAGGUCACAUUCAUGGGUACUGGGUGUUAAGCCUUCAACAUAUUUGUGAGGGGCACAAUUCACUCUGCAACAUCUGGAGACCAAGUAAAAGACUCACCUGAGAUGGAUGUUCCACAAGGCGAUGCGUGUGCUUCUCAGGAUUUGCUUCUCCUUGGUGCUUCUAGACCAAUAACUAGGAUUACUUUUCAGUAUGGCCCACGUAGGGGCAGCCUUUCUCUGUUAUGAGAAACAAAGGAUUAUUCAUCAAAAGAGCUGUAGGACAGGGCUUGUAUGUACUGCAAGAAUGGAAAGACUAAGUGUGGGAAUCGAGCUUGAGAGUUGGACCAGGGAGGGCACAAUGUAAGACAGAUGCAGCACAAUUCUUUGUAGAGGAUUUGAAGCCAGAGGGGGAGUUUUGCAAGGUUCUUUCAGCCCCCUUACCACCUGAAAUUUGAUGCGUUCUCUCUUAGCUGCCUCCUGGGGAUCAGGAGAGAUGUGUGCACCUGUGUACCACAUAUUCUCUUUGGAGAUCCUUGGAUAGGAGCUGCCAGGUCAUUGAAGGUCCAGCUUCUUGGGCUCACAGCCACAAAACGCACUUUCCAUGCACACAUUUCCCUGCAUUUUCAAAUGCCUUUCAGCUUCCCCUUCAGCCCUGAGUUCAAGGCAGAUGCUAAACUUUCACCACAUAUGUAGAUGCAUUUAUUAAAAACUUAAUUCUAUUCUGACUUCUACUAAGUGUUGGACUUGUAAUUCACUGCAGAGAAUCCUGUUUUGCAGGAAUAAAUGAGCUGAAAAUCAUAUUCUUUCCUUUCAACUGUGCCAUGGAAUCUUCAGUUACAGCACAUGAGGUAGUUGCUGUGGAAGUUAAAAUAAGUCCCUACUGUGAGAGCAAGGAGAUGCUGCCUGGCACACAGCUGAACCACCCGGCCCUGGAAAUGCAGCGACAACUUAAUUGAACAAUUGGUUCAGCAACUGGUGGAGUUUUACAUUUUCUGAACAAGACCGUCAAUUACCAUAAAAGCAGAACAUACUGUGUUUCUAGCAUUUGAAGCAAUACAUAGCAAUUAGGGGAUGGGAUCUAUUGUGUGCAGAGCUUAAAGAAAAGAUGAAACCUGAAUUCUGAUGGACUCAAUGAGAAUUCAGUUCAUUUUCUUGCAAGGUUUCUCCUUGUGGAAAUUGAUCAUUUCUGACCUUUUUCUUUGCUUUUCUGUGCCAUCUGGAGAAUUUGAGGCGAUGCCUUUGACUCUAAUACCCUCUUGGCCCAGUUCCUGUUGUUCCACUUGCCACACUUAUCCUUGGCUAGCUUCUAUGAUAUCCCACAUGCAGGCUGCUAACCAGGCUUCAGGCAAGAUGCUGCCUGCAGAACGGACAUGACGGGGAAGUGGAUUUGCACAUUAUGCAGCAGGCAAUGCUCCGAGGGACCAAUGCAACUGAAAUCUCAGCAGUUUCUAAGGCGUCUGGGAGAGUCAGUGCUGUCACACCUGGAGCUGGCUGCUCAACGAACAUUUAGCACAUAAUUGACCAAUCAACUGAAAUGUAUAGUAAAUGUACAUAAUUACUUAGUCUAAGAUGAAGCAGGCUGGAACACACAACUAACCUACAAAAGGGCUCCGUUGAACUCCUGGUGGAUGCAGCCACAUUAGGUUGUUGUGAGAUGUUUAGCUCUCUUAGCAUCAUUAAUGACAAAUGGAAUCUUCCCUAGUGCUUAUGUUUGUACCAUCACAUUCCAACUCCAGUAAUGACAGCCAACCUUAAUGGAAUGUGUAUUGCACACUUGGCACUGUCUAAAUGUUUUACCAGUAUUAAUUUAUUUAAUCCUCUACCAAACCUGUAAGAUAGAUACUAUUAUUCUCCUCAUAUCACAGAUAAGAAUCUGAGUCAGAGUGGUAAAAUAACACGCCUGAAGCCAAACAAUCAGUAUGUAGAGAAACUGUGAUCUGAACCCAAGUCGACAGCUCGCAGAGCUUAUGUACGUGCCCAGCACACCACAGCUGCCUCCUAGGUAACGGCAAUCCUUCCUGUUAACUCUUUUGCCUGAAAUGAUUUGCUCAUGUUGUUAUGGUACUGAGCUCAAGAAACCAAGGUUGUGGGGUAAUCCCCCUGCAUGUUAGUCAUUCUUUUCCACAGCCUUACAUUGCACUGUCGAGGCUGGCUAUCUGCUUACCACAAGAGCCGAAGGGAGGGGGCGAGAACGGUUCAGUACUCCAUUUCCGUUACUGCAAGACAGCUCAAAUUGUAUGCUCAGUGAGAACAGGUAUGGUCCACUUUAUCUUUGUAUAGAUCCCCUAACUCCCCGAUUGAGCAGUCAAACGAGAACCCUUCAGCUCAGUUCCUUCCAUUUAAUGGGAAGAGGCUGAAAUCAUAAAGGGUACAGCAUGAGCUAAGACAGCCAUCAUGUCAGGCAAAUUACAGCUUCUAACUGAGAGAAGCUCUAUCCCUAUUGGCUCAAAUGGAGAAAACUGUGAGAUUGGAUGAGGGAAUUAAGAGAAUUCCAGGUAUUGAGAUUUUAAGGGAUUAUAAUGAAAUACUCUUUCCCUGCUGCUCCAGUUCCAAAUUGAGUGAAGGAUGGAAGCAAGAGAAAGGCAGAUGCCGAGAGCUACCCUUACAUUAGACAGGCAUUUUCACCUUGUCACUGCCGCAGCAGGGCAAUAGCUGGCCUCAUCUUCCUGUGAAGGCUCCUCGCCAUGCUCCCAGGAGGGCAGCCCUACAGACACCCGUCUGUAGUCAGGCUGGCUCUGAAUGAGAACCCAGAAGGGGUUGAAUGGAACGUGUCCAGUUCGUUUUUCCAAAUUCACCAGUCUCAUAAUUCACUUCUUCUCCAGGGUAUGGGAGGGGGUGAGGAGCAGGGUGAGCAAGCAGCAGUGUUAGUGUAGUUCAAGUUCUUCUCAGGGGGCACGUAAGGAGGUGAUGGGUAGGAAACAGUGGUGAUCUUUGCUAACCCCUGGCCAAGUUCUGUGUAUAUGGUAACACAUAUAAUCAAAUAAUAAGGAUAUGACUGCAGAUAAAAUGAGACUGUAGCCCCAGAAUACACCACAGAACCGCAAACACUGGAGGGCUGACAGGGCAGAGAGGCCUUUGGAUAUCCUCCCCACGGAGGCCAGCAGUGAUGCUUGAGUAUGACGUAAAAAGUUAUGUUAGUAGAUGGGAAGGUGCAAUGGUCCAAAACUGUUGCUUUGCAGGAGGAAAACAACAUCACAUCUUUUUCCUCCGUUCCAAUUGUUGGAAACUGUAGAGGUAUAAGUGGAAGAUUUGAAAGUAAGAUCAUGUACCAAAUAUCCAGUGGAGGAUUUCAAAAUUGACUAUAGUGGGGUCAUUUUAAAAUGGAGUUGGUGAUGCCUCUCCAGAGAAACUGCCUUGCUGUCUUGAACCUUGGACUGGGCCAAACCUUUGGACUGGGCCAAAAUGGCAAAUGUUUUCCAAGCAAUUGCUUGAAAAGUCAGCAGGAGAAUGGACGUGCUGAUCACAAAGAUUGAGGACUGUGGACUUUCUGGAGAUGGAAUCAGUAGUCAAUCAAUGUUUAGCCAAGACUAGCUCUCUGCCUCCAACUCCAGCUAAAAUUCUUUGUAAUACAAUCUCUCUUCUUUGCCUUUAAAAGCCCCUGACUUUCACUCCUUAACGGGACACUAUUUGGGUUUCUACUUGAAUCUGUGCUCCCUGAACUGCAAUGCUUUGAUUUCAUAUAAAAGCUUUGCCUCUUAAAUUGGUUUCUGUUUUUGCAGGUUGACAAAGACAAGCCAUUAAAAAAAAAGUUCCUGUGGGUCCUAAAUGGACUAGAGUUGAUGCUCCAGCUUAGAUCCUGAGGAAGAUGCCCCAAGAAGAUACUCAAAUUCUUCUGCUUUGUGCAUGAGAUGAGCCACACAGUUAUCCAGGGAUCAUCUAGAUAUAGAGAUACCAUUCACUGUCCUACUACUCUGACAUCAUCACCAGGCUGUCCUGGCUCUUACUUCUUUGGCACACAAUGCAGAGAAGGACCUGCCUGCUGAGUGUGCAGCCUAAGGAGGAGAGCCAGUGCGCAGCACGCUGUGCUGGCUCAGGGAAGUCAGAAGUCACAGGCUCAACCCUUGGCCUGGCUCCUUUCCACGUGGGAGAACUUCGAGAAUUUACUUUUCUUCUGGGAACUUCAAUUUUCCGUUCUGUGGUAUGGGCAUAAUGGUAAUAGCAAUCUGUCUUUUGAGUUUUUUGUGAGGAUCAAAGAGCAGACAGGCAUGAUAAACAGUAUAGCAUUAUACAAAGGUUGGUUGGGAAGUGUUGCUUUUACUCUCAACCAACUGCGGAACAAGUUAUUUCACCUUUGUCAGCCUCCUUUUUCCUUAUCUGUAGAAAAGGGAGCAUUGUAUCUACUUCUCCAAAAGAUUGAUUAAAUACGUAGAGUACCUACUCUAAAUAAACAUGAAUUAGCUUCUCUUUAAAUUGGGCUGUGACUGGAACUUUGUAACUGAGUGAUAAUUCGAUUCUUUUUCUCAGUAUAGAUGUCAAGGGGAUGGGCGCUCACGGUCUUAAAUGCCCCACUUCAGGCAAAGGAACUCUGGUAGGCUGUAUGGACCACUGCGAGUGGCUCCAAGGCAGGAGUGCGGAUGCUGGCUGGUGCAGAAGAUGGCAGUGGCAGGAGAAUUCAGGGGACAGGCUCAGGAGUGGCAGACUGUGAGCCUGCCAAGAAACAGCACAGGGAGCGCCUCCCCUCACACUGCUAAAAAUACUGCGGGGAAAGUAAUUUCUCUGUUCCUAUUUUAGAAAUCAGAGGCAGAGCCACCAUAUUCAUGUUUGGAUUCUGGUCAGCCUUCUGGUUUAAGUUUUCAAUUUCAAGAGAGAUUUUUCUGGGGAGAGUUAAAACAAUCUCUGUAGAGUUUCAGAAUCGAAAUUUGAAAAUGCCGUUAAGGAAGAUUAAUGUGUUGGGCAUUAUUUACGUAAUUACUAGCAAUUUUUUAGAAAGGUUUUAUUAGAGACAAUCAAGAUGUUUUAGUGACAAAAUCCUUCCGGCUGUGUGCUUUCCUAUGAAAGUCAAUGAUUAUAUAUAGUUACAUAAUUUUUAUUUAACUGAAGAUAGAUUUAUAAAAGGAUAUUUUCCUCUUUCUCUUCCUUUUCUUCUUAAUUUUCCAUUGCUGCCUUCUUUUCCUUCCUUCCUCUUCUGGAACCUUCCUUCUAUGCCUUGUUUUCCCUCCCUCCUUCCUUCCUUUCUCGGUGACUUGUCCACACUGGGAUAGAAACCUUCUCUGUCCAUGUGCCACAGUAUGUACAUCUCUGAUGUAUUCUGUCUGGCUUUGCUUCAGUCUUUCACUGCAGCUUUUGUUUCCUGCUCUCUUUCACAAGCAUUUCCUGAGUAGCUAUUUCUGCAGAGCACUGUAUCAGGCCCUCGGAGAGGGCUGGGGAAAACACAAGGAUGAGUAGCACCUGAUUCUCCCUCUCAAAGGAUCCUACAGUGUAGCGGGAAAGACAUGAAGUUCAAAACCAAAACAGCACAGAAAUGCACAGGAGGUGGGAGAGUCCUGAGUGUAGAAGCAGGUCACUUUACCAAAAAUCAACUUGCCAAAAUCGUUUUACCAAAUAAUCAAUAUACUGAAAGGCCAAUUCAUUGAAAAUCAAUUUGCCAUUGGCCCCGAGCUGCCAAGGAUUGCCCAGCAGAAAUAAUUCACCCUAAGGUUCAACAGGAGCAAGCUUGGUAUUAGAGAGGGGCCACUUUUAAGUUCUGCGCAGGAAUGUAGCUGUGGUUGAGAGUCUUCUUGAACCUGGCGGUGGGAGAGCAUUUUGUAUACAAAGUUGCCGUAAUCAGAAGCAUGGUUUGCUUAAACAAGAGACUACUUUUUCAUCUUACUCCUGAUAUAUCAGUUAUGGUUCUAGCAGGAAACAGAUGGCACCCACAAACUUGGAAAUGUGAAGAUAAUCUAGUAAAGGGACGUCUUUCAAGGCAUGGGAGGGAUUAAGGAAAGCAGCAGAUGAUAGUGCGAUGCCCUGCGGGUAGCGAGAGCAGGGAGCCACGGCCACUGGAAGCUGGCAGGGGUAGCUAUGUGGAUAGGGCCAGCCAAUGUAGACGGAUUCUGUGGUAGUCACUUCUCCUCUCUCACGAGUGCCUCUUAUUGGCCAGACCCAACUGUAAACUGAGGAAAAGGAUUCCGAGGCACAAAGAAGGGGGAGAGUGGAUCUAGAGGGCAUGGGGCAUAUCAGGUUGCAAUUCAAUAAUGUGCCACCAAAUUACCAUUUUAUUCAGUCAAGGAAGAAUAUGUUUGUCAUUUCGGACUUAAAGCUCAGUGUCACUCCGAAAGUUUCUCAGUGGUACGAAAUUUAUUCACUAAGAAUUGAAAUGUGCAACAGGGUACCUGUUAAAAUUAUAUCUAGCAAGAGAAAUUCUCAGUAAUUCCCUAUGUAGGUGGACACAGCAAACAAUUUUGGAGUAGAUCUUUGUUCAGAAAAGAGUGAUUUGAGUGAAACUCUCUAGUAUGCUUAAUGCAAGGCCUUUUUGAAGGGUAUAAUAGAAUCUUUUGUUUGGCUUAACAAGGCAAAUCUGUCUAUAGAGCUCUUGGAGUCCAACGGACCAGUUUGCAUUGGGUGCCCCAGACCCAUCACAAAGGCAUCACAAAGAGACCUAGUCUGGCUCAGGAGGAGUCUGAAGCAGGAGAGCUCGUCAUAAAGCAAGCUUACAGGGAGCUGGCUCCAUCAGAGCGUCUGUGCAGCUGUGGACCACUGUGGGCACCGGGCUGUGCAGGGCCAGCGUUCAACAGCGACACCAUGUGAUGGACAGAGGUGUGGCCCUAGUGGGGACUGCAUUUCUUUCUUCCUAUCUAGACUCAUUCCCUUCCUUGGAUUAAUGAAUCUCUGAGAUCCUUGGGAAUCUCAGAGAAGAGGGACAUCUUAGAGUUCCUGAAGAAAAGUGAUAGAUAGGGCUUUGAGGGAUGAAUUAGAGUAAUAAACAAGAUGUGAUUUGAUUUGUGUCUUAAGCUGGUAAAGCAGAUCAUACUUGCUACAGGAGAAGAGUUCAGUGAACAAAGCUCUGUUCACUCCUGACUAGAUGUUCCAAGUGUCAUUUUUAGGCAGAGGCAGGAGCAGUGGUUAACGUGGGAGGGUGAAGCAACAAGAAUAAUUUGUGCCACUUCUGAGGGCAAAGGCAAACAAACCGUCCCAGGGUAAUUUGGGGAUAUAAAAGGUGGCCAAAUCAUUUUGGGACUUUUAAAGAAAUUCCGUGAAAUGUGACUAUUUUUCUUUCUGCUCUCAGUCUUGCGCAUCAACUUUAAGUUCUGGAAAGGAGGUUUAAAGAAAAGUGUUAGAGUUGAGGUGUGUUUAAGAGAGAGUACCGCGAAUGUAAGUUAUUUAUUAUCAGUAUGCACUUGGUGGGUACAGUUUUCUUCUUCUCCAGUCGCUGCCCUCAACUAUGCAAGGGUGGACCUCUGCUUCUUCCUGGUAUGGAACCCAUGGAAACAUCUUGGGCCAGUUUGAUAACUUCCCAGUUAUUUUCAGUUACUUAAACUCAGGACAGCCUAAUCUAGUUUAAAACUCCAUCUUAUAGUCAAUUUGAAUCUCUGCCCGCCCCAGCCAGGCCUUGGUUCAGGGGACCUGGAGAACGAAGAGGAGUGGGUUUACCUUUUCAUUCCUCCUCUGAGUCCCGUAUCUUGGAAUUGUGUGUGUGUGUGUACACACGUGCACGCGUGUCCCUGCAUGCACGCACAUUGGUCUGGCUCCCCUUCCGCCUGCUCUGUUCUAGGCUCUAGCUACUUGCACAUAUUGGGGAGGAGGAAUGCAGUGAUGUCUGGGUUUGCCUUCCACAGCAGGAGCCUGUCUGAGGAGGGAGGCUGCCCCUGGUCUUACUCUGGCUCGGUUGGCUUCCUGUGGUACUGGUGGCUUCAAUCCCUAGGGUGGUUUCUGCAAAGUUCAGUUUCAUUCCAACCCCCUAGUGCUGAAGGGCCAGCUGUGCCUCUCUUGGUCCUGGACAAUGGUCUACACUCCUAAGCUUCUUUCCAGUUGGGAUGUCACUUCAUCCAUGUCCUUCUGGGCACAUCCUUGGCUUCUGCUCUCUCUCUGUCCUUUGCACUCCUUCCUGUGGGGCCACGAGAGCUGCGGAGAUUCUCUGCCACACACUUUGAAGGCUACAGGAAUCUGGGAUGGAGUAGAGGGCCGCCCCUACAUUCUUUCCAGGCUCAUUAACUUCACCAUAGUUCAAACCUUGCAUCUUCAAAAAUCUCCAGAUGAAAAGCAGGCCUUGCUCUCUAAGUUUGGGUAUGUUUCCAAAUGCUAACGGCCCCAUGUGACGGUCUUCCUCUGAAUUUAUCAUGCUGUUUUGCUCUGAUGGAAGCAUUAGGGGGUUCUGCAGAUUUUUCAACUCAGCUAAGCCACCCAGAGAAUGAAAAAUCACUUGCCCCUUCUUGCACAACUUUACCAGUGAUUUCCCUGGAUCCCUUUCCCUUGCCGGGGCUGGAAGAGGGUCGGGAGGCAGCGAGAGUGGCUUCAGAUGAGGAGGGUCUUUCCUCAGGAGUCAGAAGCGUCAGGGCAAAUGGGAAGAUGUCUGUCCAGCUGAGGAACUGAACCUCCUAGGAAAUAAAUGAUCUAAGGAAGCAGAGUCAAGUGGGCCCCAGGCUGCUGCUCAAGUAGCUAUGCCUCAGGCACUGAAGAGAAGGGAGGAUUUCAAGUAUUGCUGGGUUUCUGUCUUUCAGUGUCCCCUCACCCAGACCCCAAAGGACUUGUGUCUUAAUUCCUGGGUGGAGGGGAGUGGGGAGGAGCGAUUUGAAUAACAAAGAAAGGAAGGGCUGUCUCUACACAAACUCUCUUUGAAACAGUGGGAGUACAAGGCAGCAUUGUUUUGAGAGCCCUGCAAAAGAAUAACAAAGGGGGAGAGGCCUCCGCAACUUGGGCGCCCAGGGCAAGGGUCUGGAGGGUCCAGAGCUUUGGCGCUCUGGCAGCUCCUGCACAGCAGUGGUGCCUCAGUUCUGGCACGGCCCCCAGGGCAGCUCAUCUCUUCCACAGCGGCAGGAGGAGAGGGGCAGGAGGAGAAGGCCCCAUCAGUGGCAAGGAGGGGCAUCAAAGGUUUGGAAGCAAUGGGAAAUGGCGCCCUUGGCACAGAUACCUAUGCCCUUCCCUCGGGGAGGGGCAGAAGUAGCAUCCAGUGUCAGCUAUAUGGAGUUCUGCAGGACACAAUGGCUUUGCUGGAGAUGGUAUUGAAGAUGAGAACCUCUACCGUUUUGGAACAUCGAGAACCGAGAGGCGUUGAACAAAGGAAAUGUUCUAAUUUUUAGUGAGCCUAAUUCUGACAUAUUUAAAAGGGACUGUCAGUGUUUCACCACAUGAAGGGAAUUUGCUGAUGUCUGUCCUUCAGGAGAUGGCUGUCCUGGCAUCCGUCUUUCCAGUUCACCUCUGCCACCACUCCUUCCACCCCCACACUGACUUCACUUUCUUGACCUCUCUCUCUGGCUCCUCUUCCUCCUCCCCCACCUAGGUGAGUGAUCCCAAGGGAAAAGGAGUCCUCUAGUUACUUGUCCUGGGCUUCUCUACCCACCCUCAUUGACCUCUUGGUUGUCCUGGCUCUGUUGGUCCUUCAUGGGAUCUCCAUGGAGCAUCUCAGCUUUGCCUUGUCCCUCAGGGAGCCUCAUCCUGGUAGCUACACUAGCCUAGACCCCUUUUGGUGCAGUUGAGGAAAUGCAAUAAUUCAGAGUGAAUUUUUAUUUAAAAAAUAAUAAACAGGAUGCAAUUUAAAAAAAAUAGUUGAGAGGGCCGGCCCCAUAGCUGAGUGGUUAAAGUUCCACGCACUCCACUUCGGCCGCCCUGGGUUCACAGGUUCAGAUCCCGGAUGUGGACCUAAUUCACUCAGCAACCAUGCUGCAGAGGCAUCCCAUAUACAAAAUAGAGGAAGAUUGGCACAGAUGUUAGCCCCGGGCUAAUCUUCCUCAAGCAAAAAGAAAAAAAGUUGAAUUUAUAGAUUCUGGAUUUUGAUCCUGAAUUAACCCCAGAUUUGCUUGGUUGGAACAAUUUCUGCAUCCUCUUCCUGGAUCCUUUUCCUUCGUGCAGCCCAGCCUGGGGUGGAUGCUAGUCUUAGCUAUGUGGUUUUUUUAGUCCCUUAUGGAUUCCUGGUGACCCUGCUGCUGGCUCCAGGGAGAUUGAACUCUCCUUGAUUUUGUUUUUUUGUUUAGUCCCUCAGCUCAACUCUCUGCUCUGUGGUUCUCAAGAGCUCAACAAGUUCUCUUAUUCAAAAUAAAACAAAUAAUAACCCAA